GAAGGUGGGGCUAAUGACUGGGGUGAAGUCGUAACAAGGUAGCCGUACCGGAAGGUGCGGCUGGAUCACCUCCUAACAGGGAGACAACAAAAUGUUUAAUAUUAUUAUUUUGUCACCUUAGGUCGAUCGGUAUCUCACAUUCUUAUUUAUUGAGGAUUUCAAUUCCUAAGUUUUUUCUAGGUCACACCCAUUACUUUUCCUGGGCCAUUAGCUCAGGUGGUUAGAGCGCACCCCUGAUAAGGGUGAGGUCCCUGGUUCAAGUCCAGGAUGGCCCAUAUCUCUAUGUUGGGGGUAUAGCUCAGCUGGUAGAGCGCCUGCUUUGCAAGCAGGAUGUCAGCGGUUCGAGUCCGCUUACCUCCACUGAUUACCGCCUCUUUCAUAAUCAAUAGAAAGGAAAUGUUUUGAGUUGUGAUCAAAUUCUGAACGAUUCUAGCUUCCUAAUGAAAUCAUUAAGAUGCUGGACUCAUUGAAUUAAUUUCAUUGUUUUCAGAGAACCUUGACAACUGCAUAGAUUAUUUUUAAAGACAAUAAGCAUCUUUAAUGAUGCAGAUUUAUUAUUUGUGCGAAUGCAUUAAUAACAAUUCUAUUAAGCUGAUGCUUCAAUUUUUGAAGUUAUUGGUCAAGCUACAAAGGGCUCACGGAGGAUACC
rnacentral:misc_RNA from 1 species